AGACUUCAAGUCCUGUAAAGAUGCAUACAAUUCAUACAAGUCGAACGCCAGCGAGUUGGUUACCUUACACUUUGGCUCAAAUACAACUUCCGUUCUCUGUCAAAUGGGAGAUUUUGGAUGUGGAGAUGGUGGAUGGACACCAGUUAUGAAGAUUGAUGGCAACAAGAACACUUUUCGGUUCAGUUCGGGAUACUGGACUGACAAAAGCGAAUACAACC